ensembl:lncRNA
GUGGGAGUUUAGAUCCCCUUGAGCUGGGGAGGAAAUGAGGCUGGGCUUUCUUAAGCAGAUGGUGAAUUAUCCCCACCCUGCCUGGGAACCAGCUGUGCUCGGCACUUGUUAGCCUUCCUGCAAUCCUGCUGAUGUUCUGAGUUCCCUGAACCCUGAGGGAUUUGAUGGAGAAGACAUCCCAUCUGUGCCUGAGUGUGCCAAGAUCUCUCACUCUCUGCAUAAUGUCUAGCUGUGGGUCUCUGUAUUUAUUCCUAUCAGCUGCAAGAGGAAGCUUCUCUGAUGAUGGCUGAACAAGGCACUGAUCUGACCACCUGCCUCUCUUGGGGUGGAGCCACCCAUGGUGGACAGAGUUCUCCUACAUCAACCAUUAAUCAAGAAAAUCCCCUGCCCGACGGGCUUGCCUACCGGCCAAUGUGAAAGAGGCAAUUCCUCAGUUGAGAGUCCCUCUUCCCAGGUAGGUCCUGUUUUGUGAAUGGUUGAAUAAAGCCAGGCAGCACAGCUCUCUUCUCUCCCAGAAUGCUGGUAGCCACAAUUAAAUCUUCUGUGUGUGUUUAUUUGCUUGUUCAUGGUACCUUAUGGCUACUAUCUAAAUUUGGACUAACCCUAAUUUUCACAUGUUGAAAUUGUAAUAGAAUAUUGAUAUCAGGAGGUGAUGCCUUGGGAAUAUAGAACAUCAUAAAUGAGAUAGUUACCCCUGUGAAAUAACCCCAAGAGAAGCCUCCUACACUCCCUGCAAUAAGAGUGUACAGCAAACACAUGAACCAGGAAGCCAGCUCUGGCCAGACGCUGAAUCUGCUGGUGAAUUCCAGAGUCCAGAUAGGUAAGAAUUAUAUUGCUAUUGCUUUUAGUAUAUGACAUUUUUCUCUGAAGCACUCCAUGAAACCAUAGCAUUCAUAUAAUGGGAAGUAUAUGGUAUGUGCUUCUCUUUCCCUGGAUUUUGCCAUUAAGCAUAAGAAUUUGAAGAUUCAUUUGCAGCAUACACUAAAGUUGAUUGUGGAGGAGUAUGAUAGUGCCCACUUUACUUCCAGUACACAGGAGGCAGAGACAGGUGGAUCUAUGUGAGUUCAAGAUCAGCCUACUCUACAUAUUGAGUUCCAGGUAGGCCAUAGUUAAAAUAGUGAGGCCUUUUCUUUGUUGCUAUUCAUGCCUCUUUAUUGUUAGAUAAUAUUAUAUUCUUUUAUGUACCAGAUCUUCUUAAUCUUUGAAUCUGAAUUUUUUUUCUGAUGGCAAUUGUUAAGAUUAAUGUUGCCAUUAACAUGCAACUGUGUAUUCUAGACCUUGUUUUCGAUUUGGGUAAGGAUAGACACAAGUGGAAGCACUAAAUUCUAUGGCAAAUCCAUAGUCAGUUUUUGUUUGUUUGGUUGUUUUUUGUUUUUUAUGACAAGCCAUGCUGCUCUUCGGGGUGAGCAUCAUUUCACAUUCUCUCCAUCAAAGUUCUAUACAGCAUCAUCAACACUUUCAAUGUCCUAGAAUAUGGGAAGGAUCUUAUUGGCUUUAAUACACAUUUUCCUAAUAAGUAAAAACCCUGAGCAUCUUUGAACACAAUUUUUGCAUGUUCAUGUGUUUCUGUUUGAUAUGUCAGCUGUGGAAAAUACAGGGGAAAGAAACCAUUUAAGGUAGGAAAUACUUCUUUUGGGCUCAUGUUUUCAGACCAUGGUCAACUCAUGCUGUUGCUUUUGGUUGAGCUGGCAGAACAUUGUGGUGAAGAAAGCUUGAUGCAGUAGAGCUGCUGACCUCAGAGUGACUAGGAGACAGAGAGUGGGAGGAGGGGCCAUGAUGAGACACCCUUCAAAGUCAUGUUCCCAGGGACCUAUUUCCUCUUUUAAGAAAAUAGUGUUGCUAUUUUAUCAUUUCUGGUUAUCAUUUCUUAUUCAUUAUUAUUGCUGUUAUUAUUAUUUCUUGUUAUUCUUAUUAUUUUAUGGGUAUGGGUGUUUUGCCUGCAAGUCUAUCUGUGCACUACAUGAGUGCAUAGUACCCACAGAGGCCGGGAGAGGGGAUCUGACAUCCUGAGACUAGAGUUACAGAUGGUUGUGAACCACCAUACAGGUGCUAUGGAUCAAACCGUAGUCCUCUGGAAGAGCUUUCACCUGGGAAUGCUUUCACCUGCUGGGCUCCAUCCUUCUAAUCCCUGUACUUCCUCUAAUCCUUUCGUAUUAUAAACUUUUCAAUGUGUUGACUCUCUGGAUAGAUCAUAUCCCUCCUGAUCUGAUCACUUCUCAGUGAUUAGGUCUACAAGCUGAGGACCCAUGAGUUCAACCCAUGAGUCUUUUGGAGAUGUUGCAUGUACAAACCCUAACAUCUGCUUUGGAGAUUUAUCUAUUCAAAUGUUCUGUUCAUUUUUGAGUUGAAUCAUUCAUCACUUGUUGCCCUGGUUGGGUUUUAGAAUUCUUUAUUUAGUCUGACGUUAAUGCCUUAGGAGGUACAUAAUUUGCAAAUAUUCUUCUAACUCUCUAGAUUGUGGUUUUGCUUUUUCAAUAACAUCCCAUGAUGCACCGAAGUUCUCAGCUUUUGAAGUCCAACUUAACUGUGUUAUUUUCCUUUUCUGCAAUGUGUCCUAUCUGUUGCCUUUUCCCUAAUCCAACAACAUGAACAUUUUCUCAAAUGCUUUCUUCUAACGUUUUUGUAGUUUAAGCUUUAGCUCAUUGAUCCAUUUUGAACUCACAUUGGUGUUCAGUGUGCAUCGAGAGCCCAACUUCAGUCUUUAAUAGAUCAAUAUCCAAGUACCAUUUGUUGAAAAGACUUUUUUUUUUUUUUUUUACCCCGUUAAAGCGACUUAGCACACUUGUUGAAAAUCAAUUGGCGGCCGAUGUGAGGGUUAUUUCUGGGUCUCCUCUGAUAUUUUAAGGAUGGACAGAAAUUAAGUCAUGGACAAAAGAGAGAACCAGCUCUCAGAGGGGAGGAGUUGAUUUGUACAAUAGUAAGCACUGACUUCCCUUUCUAGGUGUGAAGAAAUGUAGCACUGAUGAGUCUCAUUCCCCCAUUCAUCUUGUGGAUAAUAUAUUAAGUCGUCCUGGCAUUCAAGCCUCUUGGGAGAGAUUCUGAGAUAUUUACUUUACUUUGGUGUCUCUAGCAGAGUAGGGUGGCACUCAAUCCAGUCUUCUUUGUCUCAUAACCACUAAGUCACAUGCAUGUCUCUAUUUUUUUUCUAGGAACCAUCAGGUAUCGGGCUUCAGGAAAGCAGAUCUCCCAGAUAAACUGGUUGCUUCUCAUAAAUAGUGUCCAAUAACACUGCAAGGAGGAAGAGCCUAAUUACCCUAGGAUAGCCCACUUUGCCAACAAUGGAGGUAUUAUGCUGCUGUGGAGAGGACAAGUAGAAAAGUUUCUUCCAGGUAAUUGCAGAUUUAGGGUGAUGGAGGAAGGCUUGUAUCAUCAGGGAGAAUUUAACAAGCUUUAACAUGGGAAGUUUCUGCAAUUUUAGCCGAUUAUACUUAUGAUUCUAUAUUUGCCCAUUAAUUUGUUUUGAACCGAAUUAACGAAUGGUGUAUCUAGUUAAGAAAUGUGCUGUUUUCUGAUAUGGAAAUAAACAAGCUCAUCUCGUUUGGUUAAAACACUUCAGUAUCUAAAU